CCCCUCCUCCGACGUAUCUCCUUCCUUCUUUCUGCUGCUGGACGCCGUCACAAUCUUCUGUCUCAAACUUGGCCUUUAACCGGUCGUGUUUUGCAGAGCGGAGAGGAGCGUCUUUAGGUGAUC